UUUAUGGGGCUUUCUUGGACUGCACUCUGGCCAAACGCAGUGACUCCAGUAAGGCGUGGCCUUUGCAACCACCUUAAUUAGCUCUGGGAGAAGAUUCCACUCAGAGUUGGGCAGGAGGUAGCUUGAGAGGCAACUGGCCAGGGAAUGUAAAAGAGGGCUCAGAAGCAUUCUUGUCUUUAUACUAUACAUUUGCUCUAACCUACUUCACAACUUUGGCAAGAAGUAUAUCUUGUUGAAAAACAUU
rnacentral:lncRNA from 1 species